UCAAUCUUGGAAAGUCCAACAAUAGUAAAACCCAAUGAUUUAACUUAAAAAAAAAAAAAAAAAGGAAACCCUAGAUUCCACGAUUCUUUCAUCUUCUUCUUCAACUCUCACGUCUCUGCCUUUCACAAAUCUCUAAUCUUCAUUCUUCACAGUAUCAUCUUUCUCUUCGUUCAUGUCGCCACGAUCUAUAUGGAAGGGCGGUUUUGUUGAUGCAUUCCUGAUGAAAAUGAAGAAGAAUGUAGAACCUCUUAUGAACAGGAAAAUUUGGUCACGUGGAUCUAUGAUUCUGCCGGAAUUCGUUGGUAGCACCGUACGAGUUUACAAUGGGAAAAAUUUUGUUCGUUGUAAGAUCACUGAAGGAAGAGUUGGUCAUAAGUUUGGAGAGUUUGCUAUGACACGGAAACGAAGAAUUGCGAGAUCAAAUAGUGCACCGGCAAAAAGAGGGGGGAAAAAGUGAAGUUCAAGCGCAUAUGCCAUUUGGUAUUCACUUUUUCUUUCUUAUUCUCAAUUCAAGAGAUAGGGUACUUGGCUUGAAAUUUGUUCUCAGAACACCGAUUUCUUUCUCGGAGGCAAUGUCCGCCUCUUUCUUGCUCAUCUUGGCAUAGCUCUGCUCGCAUUAGUAUCAACGAAUUUUGUGUAUGAGCUAUGGUGGGUCGAUGCCAUUGUAGGCCAUCAGUUGCCGAGGUGUAAGCUCCAUUGGCUCCAGGGGGAACUGAGAAGAACGGUAGCUUCAGUUGAAAUGGUGAAUUCAACCAUUUUUCAUAUUCAUUCUCAUUCGAAUGGGGAGAAAAGGCAAAGAAUUUUGAAUAUGUCCCAUUUGGAAUAAUUUGACUUGAUAACCCUUGCACUAAUGAAAAAUACUUAUUGAUCCA